GACGAACGCUGGCGGCGUGCUUAACACAUGCAAGUCGAACGGUGAACCACUUCGGUGGGGAUCAGUGGCGAACGGGUGAGUAACACGUGGGCAACCUGCCCUCAGCUCUGGGAUAACUCCAAGAAAUUGGGGCUAAUACCGGAUAUGACUGCUGACCGCAUGGUCUGGUGGUGGAAAGAUUUAUCGGCUGGGGAUGGGCCCGCGGCCUAUCAGCUUGUUGGUGGGGUAGUGGCCACCAAGGCGACGACGGGUAGCCGGCCUGAGAGGGUGACCGGCCACACUGGGACUGAGACACGGCCCAGACUCCUACGGGAGGCAGCAGUGGGGAAUAUUGCGCAAUGGGCGGAAGCCUGACGCAGCGACGCCGCGUGGGGAGUGACGGCCUCGG
rnacentral:rRNA from 1 species